rnacentral:rRNA from 1 species
GGCAUGCAAGUCGAACGGUAGACUCACCUUCGGGUGGGUUGAGAGUGGCGAAAGGGUGAGUAACGCGUGAGCAACCUGCCCCGAAGUCCGGGACAGCCCUGCGAAAGCGGGAUUAAUACCGGAUGUGGCCCCCCGAUGGUUUCGGGGAAGCCAAAGAUUUAUUGCUUCGGGAUGGGCUCGCGUCCGAUUAGCUUGUUGGUGGGGUAACGGCUCACCAAGGCUACGACCGGUAGGUGGUCUGAGAGGACGAUCACCCACACUGGGACUGAGACACUGCCCAGACUCCUACGGGAGGCUGCAGUCGAGAAUCUUCCGCAAUGCGCGAAAGCGUGACGGAGCGAUGCCGCGUGCAGGACGAAGGCCCUCGGGUCGUAAACUGCUGUCACCCGGGAUGAAUUUUGACAGUACCGGGAGAGGAAGCACCGGCUAACUACGUGCCAGCAGCCGCGGUAAUACGUAGGGUGCGAGCGUUAUUCGGAUUUAUUGGGCGUAAAGGGUCCGCAGGGGGUUUGCCAAGUCCGAUGUGAAAUCCUCCGGCUCAACCGGGGAACUGCAUUGGAAACUGACAGACUAGAGGACUGGAGAGGAGAGCGGAAUUCCAGGUGUAGCGGUGGAAUGCGUAGAUAUCUGGAAGAACACCGACAGCGAAGGCAGCUCUCUGGACAGUACCUGACCCUCAUGGACGAAAGCUGGGGGAGCGAACAGGAUUAGAUACCCUGGUAGUCCCAGCCGUAAACGUUGUGCACUAGGUGUGAGAGGUCCUUUGGUCCCUUCCGCGCCCCAGCUAACGCGAUAAGUGCACCGCCUGGGGGAGUACGGCGGCAACGCUAAAACUCAAAGGAAUUGACGGGGGCCCGCACAAGCGGUGGAGCAUGUGGCUUAUUUCGAGGCAACGCGAAGAACCUUACCUGGGCUCGAAAUAUUUCCGAUCGCCGGUGAAAGUCGGUUUCCCUUUCGGGGCGGGUUAUACAGUGCUGCAUGGCUGUCGUCAGCUC